rnacentral:rRNA from 1 species
GACGAACGCUGGCGGCGCGCCUAACACAUGCAAGUCGAACGGGGCUCUUUGGAUCGAGACUUCGGUCAAGUGGAUCUGAGCUUAGUGGCGGACGGGUGAGUAACGCGUGAGCAACCUGCCUAUCAGAGAGGAAUAACAGUGAGAAAUCAUUGCUAAUACCGCAUAUGCUGUGAGUAUCGCAUGAUACAAACAGGAAAGGAGCAAUCCGCUGAUAGAUGGGCUUGCGUCUGAUUAGAUAGUUGGUGGGGUAACGGCCUACCAAGUCGACGAUCAGUAGCCGGACUGAGAGGUUGAACGGCCACAUUGGGGACUGAGAUACGGCCCAG